rnacentral:sRNA from 1 species
GUCGUGAGAUGUUGGGUUAAGUCCCGCAACGAGCGCAACCCUCAUCUUCAGUUGCCAUCGGUUCGGCCGGGCACUCUGGAGAAACUGCCGGUGACAAGCCGGAGGAAGGCGGGGAUGACGUCAAGUCCUCAUGGCCCUUACGGGCUGGGCUACACACGUGCUACAAUGGCGGUGACAGCGGGGAGCGAUGGGGUGACCCGGAGCCAAUCCCGAAAAGCCGUCUCAGUUCGGAUUGCACUCUGCAACUCGAGUGCAUGAAGUUGGAAUCGCUAGUAAUCGCGGAUCAGCAUGCCGCGGUGAAUACGUUCCCGGGCCUUGUACACACCGCCCGUCACACCAUGGGAGUUGGUUUUACCCGAAGCCGGUGCGCUAACCGCAAGGAGGCAGCCGACCACGGUAAGGUCAGCGACUGGGGUGAAGUCGUAACAAGGUAGCCGUAGGGGAACCUGCGGCUGGAUCACCUCCUUUCUAAGGAUGCGGGAUGAUGGCUUGCCAUGAUCCUGCGUUUUCUAGACAAAGCGGCUCAAGGCCGUGGCCGCCGCCUGCGCAUCCCUUCUUCUCCGGAACCAGAAGCCAGAAGGCCAGAAGCCAGAAGCCAGAACGGCUUCAGGUUCGGGUCUUGUUGGCCUUCGACCGGGCUAGUAGCUCAGUUGGUUAGAGCGCGCGCUUGAUAAGCGUGAGGUCGGAGGUUCAAGUCCUCCCUGGCCCACCAGUCAGAGGACAGAUGACAGGGAUCAGGUAUCAGAGGGCGUCUUGAUCCCUGAUACCUGAUACCUGUCCUCUGAUCGGGGCUGUAGCUCAGUUGGGAGAGCGCCUGCUUUGCAAGCAGGAGGUCAUCGGUUCGAUCCCGUUCAGCUCCACCAGGGGUUGGCGGCGGUUCCGGAAAAGCGAUCGCAUUAGGGUGGGCUUUGGGAUCUCUGAUCCCUGAUGCCCGAUCCCUGACAUCUGAUCUUUGACAUUGUGGAUAGGUUUGUGUGGCCGGCCCGAGGCAGGGUCUUUGGCGGGGAGUCUCCCCGCGUGUUCGCCUUGGGCUGGCAGAGAAGAAGUGCUGAGUAUGCCGUUUCGUCCGAUAGCAGGGCAUUGGCCGGUUGGCCUCUGCGUUGUGAGUUUGGCGAGCGGAUCAAGCGUCUAAGGGCAUUUGGUGAAUGCCUUGGCACUGAGAGGCGAUGAAGGACGUAGCACGCUGCGAUAAGCCGCGGGGAGGGGCGAGCGCCCGUUGAUCCGUGGAUUU